rnacentral:rRNA from 1 species
UACGUAGGGUGCAAGCGUUGUCCGGAAUUAUUGGGCGUAAAGAGCUUGUAGGCGGUUUGUCGCGUCUUGCUGUGAAAUUUCGGGGCUCAACCCCGAACUUGCAGUGGGUACGGGCAGACUAGAGUGUGGUAGGGGAGACUGGAAUUCCUGGUGUAGCGGUGAAAUGCGCAGAUAUCAGGAGGAACACCGAUGGCGAAGGCAGGUCUCUGGGCCACUACUGACGCUGAGAAGCGAAAGCAUGGGGAGCGAACAGG